rnacentral:rRNA from 1 species
UUGUUCCUACGGGAGGCAGCAGUAGGGAAUCUUCGGCAAUGGGCGAAAGCCUGACCGAGCAACGCCGCGUGAAUAAAGAAGGCCUUCGGGUUGUAAACUUCUGUUAUAAGGGAAGAAAGGUGAUAGGAGGAAAUGACUAUCAAUUGACGGUACCUUAUGAGAAAGCCACGGCUAACUACGUGCCAGCAGCCGCGGUAAUACGUAGGUGGCAAGCGUUAUCCGGAAUUAUUGGGCGUAAAGAGCGCGCAGGUGGUUAAUUAAGUCUGAUGUGAAAGCCCACGGCUUAACCGUGGAGGGUCAUUUGG